rnacentral:misc_RNA from 1 species
UUUCCGUAGGUGAACCUGCGGAAGGAUCAUUAUUGUAUAACCGAGGUACGAGGGCUGUCGCUGACCCGAAAGGUCGUGCACGCCCGAGUGCCCGCACACACAUCCAUCUCACCCCUAUGUGCACCACCGCGUGGGUCCCCCUUUGGCUUGUUCGGAGGGGGGCUUACGUUUUCACACAAACUUUGUAUGCAGUGUAGAAUGUAUUUUUUGUUUUUGCGAUCACGCAAUCAAUACAACUUUCAACAACGGAUCUCUUGGCUCUC